rnacentral:rRNA from 1 species
AGAGUUUGAUCAUGGCUCAGAUUGAACGCUGGCGGCAGGCCUAACACAUGCAAGUCGAGCGGUAGCACAGAGAGCUUGCUCUCGGGUGACGAGCGGCGGACGGGUGAGUAAUGUCUGGGAAACUGCCUGAUGGAGGGGGAUAACUACUGGAAACGGUAGCUAAUACCGCAUAACGUCGCAAGACCAAAGUGGGGGACCUUCGGGCCUCAUGCCAUCAGAUGUGCCCAGAUGGGAUUAGCUAGUAGGUGGGGUAACGGCUCACCUAGGCGACGAUCCCUAGCUGGUCUGAGAGGAUGACCAGCCACACUGGAACUGAGACACGGUCCAGACUCCUACGGGAGGCAGCAGUGGGGAAUAUUGCACAAUGGGCGCAAGCCUGAUGCAGCCAUGCCGCGUGUGUGAAGAAGGCCUUCGGGUUGUAAAGCACUUUCAGCGGGGAGGAAGGCGAUAAGGUUAAUAACCUUGUCGAUUGACGUUACCCGCAGAAGAAGCACCGGCUAACUCCGUGCCAGCAGCCGCGGUAAUACGGAGGGUGCAAGCGUUAAUCGGAAUUACUGGGCGUAAAGCGCACGCAGGCGGUCUGUCAAGUCGGAUGUGAAAUCCCCGGGCUUAACCUGGGAACUGCAUUCGAAACUGGCAGGCUAGAGUCUUGUAGAGGGGGGUAGAAUUCCAGGUGUAGCGGUGAAAUGCGUAGAGAUCUGGAGGAAUACCGGUGGCGAAGGCGGCCCCCUGGACAAAGACUGACGCUCAGGUGCGAAAGCGUGGGGAGCAAACAGGAUUAGAUACCCUGGUAGUCCACGCCGUAAACGAUGUCGAUUUGGAGGUUGUGCCCUUGAGGCGUGGCUUCCGGAGCUAACGCGUUAAAUCGACCGCCUGGGGAGUACGGCCGCAAGGUUAAAACUCAAAUGAAUUGACGGGGGCCCGCACAAGCGGUGGAGCAUGUGGUUUAAUUCGAUGCAACGCGAAGAACCUUACCUGGUCUUGACAUCCACAGAACUUUCCAGAGAUGGAUUGGUGCCUUCGGGAACUGUGAGACAGGUGCUGCAUGGCUGUCGUCAGCUCGUGUUGUGAAAUGUUGGGUUAAGUCCCGCAACGAGCGCAACCCUUAUCCUUUGUUGCCAGCGGUCCGGCCGGGAACUCAAAGGAGACUGCCAGUGAUAAACUGGAGGAAGGUGGGGAUGACGUCAAGUCAUCAUGGCCCUUACGACCAGGGCUACACACGUGCUACAAUGGCAUAUACAAAGAGAAGCGACCUCGCGAGAGCAAGCGGACCUCAUAAAGUAUGUCGUAGUCCGGAUUGGAGUCUGCAACUCGACUCCAUGAAGUCGGAAUCGCUAGUAAUCGUAGAUCAGAAUGCUACGGUGAAUACGUUCCCGGGCCUUGUACACACCGCCCGUCACACCAUGGGAGUGGGUUGCAAAAGAAGUAGGUAGCUUAACCUUCGGGAGGGCGCUUACCACUUUGUGAUUCAUGACUGGGGUGAAGUCGUAACAAGGUAACCGUAGGGGAACCUGCGGUUGGAUCACCU